GGGAAAGAUUGCUUGCAGUCAUGUUGUAAUUCCAUUUAUAGACAUUGAAAUGCGUUAGUAUUCACUGGGUUCUACUAAAUUGCUUCUGUGGAGGACUGCUGGUGAAGCGAACGCUAUGUCAGCUCUGAGAUACCACAGAUUUUUAAAGCUGCCUGUGCUUAUUUAGAUGUAUAAAUGGACAGUUAGGAGCCUGAGUGUUAGCAUAGAUUGACAAAAGGUUAAAAAGCCUUGGCCUUGGAAAGGUUAAUCCAAUUAAGUUUCUGCAUAUUGAGUAAAUCUGCUGUUUGUGAAAUCAGGACUUUAUAUAUAGAAAUGUAGAACAUUCAGUGAUUUCAGCACAGUGCUGGGGCUGGCCUUUGCACUGGAGGAGCCAUGCAAUGUGUUGCCUGGGGAGCCUGGGAGGCACUACACUUGCAAUUGCUGUGUUUUAAUCUUUUGCUAUGUAAAUUUCUGCCUGUGGUAUUUCCUGCAAUGCCCAUCUGUCUUUGGACCCUUGCUAUGGACUGAAUUGUCUGAAUUCAUGAGCCUUUCUCAGAUCAAGGUUGCUUGAAUGCUACCUUGGGUGACUGGGUGCUAAAUAGCGUGAGUAAAGGCAGCAAAGUUAGAUUAAUAAUAGCCUGUGAAGCGCUAUCUGAAUGCCAGAUGACAGUUUGAAUCUCAUUUCAUAGACAGUUGUUUGUUUGUUUUUGUUUGUUAUUCUUCAGAUGAUUGGAGCAAUAGUUUGGAAUAUUUUUUUGGAGAUAAGAACCAGAUUGGCAGAUGUAAAAUAGGAUUUAGGUCUCUUAGUUCAAAAAACUUGUAACAAGUUGUCUGAUCACCUCAGACCCAGGAUUUCUGUCUCUCAAGUUAGCCAGUAAAAGCUCCAUUUUUCUCCCCAGAUUAUCCAGUUACCUUUCAGAAGUGAUUUGUUUCCGUCAGGCCAGAUGGCCAUGUCUCCAUGAUGCCUGAAAGUACGUGUUUUGCACAGCUAGACAAGCAUCUGAAUAGUAUGUUCUCUUAGCUUCCACUGGGCAACUUUACAAGUUUACCCUGUGCCUGCUUGUUUUUGCCACGUUUUCUCUGUUUCUGGCCAACGUCUAGUUUAUUUAGCAUUACUGUUUCUUUUGCAAAAGAUUUUGUACACACAGCCUCUCUUUCUUCUAACUCCAGUGUUGGUACUAGACUGGGAAACAACAGUUUCAUGGAGCAGAGCUGAUGAGGACUGGCAAAUUUUAGGUGAAAACUGAAGCAAUGCUCAGCAUCUUCUGAGUGCUGUGCUGGUUGAUCACUUCACAUCCAACAGCUGAUGAUCCUACUAGUGCCUACCAGCAGGCAGAGGAACUUGUCUACAAACGGCUACAACCUAGCAGAAAGAAAGAGCCCCAGAACCUACCAGACCCCAACACCAAGAUCACAUCAAGCGCUCUGCCUGUCACAGCCUGUGUUACCUGGAAUAGAAGCCUAGAUGUAUUUUUAAGUGCUAUGUGGUAUCUGAAUCAUAACUACGCCUUGUCUAAAAGAGGAUCCUCUAGCAUCCUCUAGUUCCAAGAGGAACAGCCCAUUUAUAUCUUCAUCUGAGAUCAUGUGGACAUUUACCAUCGACAUUUAUUCAUCCAGAAAAAAUUCAAGCAGUGGUUAUUUCACAGAUUGCCAUUCUCAGAAGACAAAAUGCUUUUCCAGACAACUCCCAUUACUACUUGUUUCUUCACAGGCCUCCCUCCCACAGGAAGAAUCUGAUUUCCAAAAAGCCCUAGAUGUAUACUCUUUCCAUCAUAAAUGAACUCCAAAAAGAUGCUGCUGGACAAACUCUUUCUCCUCAGAUUGUUAUCAACCAUAGCCUCAAUAGGCUGAGAGAGAACGUGAUCUGCCACCUUAGUGUUGCAGCCACUGCUGUUUUGCCUGGGAUUCUAUGCCUGUGGCUGUUGAGCAGUUAGCACAUCCCAACUCAGCAGGUCCUUGAAACCAUGAGGAGUACAGCUCAGGUGGGUUGCAGUGCCAGAUACAAGGUGGCAGCCAGCAAUUUAGCUUUGGAAUGGAGUGCUACAUCUGGUCUUCUUCACUGUUGGUGUUGCUGUCACAACUACUGCUGGAACAAGAGCAGAUUGAAGAAUGGAAAGGCUUUGCACAGCAGCGGAUUGCUUUGUCGUGUCUGGGCAGUCUGGAAGAGUGAUUAUGGAGCAAGAGAGUGCUAGCGUGGGAGAAAUGUGCUUGGCCACAGGAAGGGAUUACCAGCAGAAAUCAUGGACAAGACCCACAUCACAGUGGGAUACAGACCUGCCUGUCACUGUGUAUGAGUGACCAGCUGUCAUCUCCUCACAGUUAUUUAGUCCUUCUCAGCUUCCCUCUCAAAGAGCUAGAAUACUUGCUUCUGACUGUGAUCCUUCCUUCAUUUCUAUAAUAAAAUACCUGAAAUUACAGUUUUAUCUAUCUGCGUAAUGUCUUUUUGUCCACAUGCUGCAUGCCCCUGGCACUGCAUUUCUUUGCCUAAGACCUUUAUGUAAACUGGGUAUCAAUGUUCUUUAGUGCCGUGAAUGACCCAGCACUAUGUUGAUGAUAUGUUGAUGAUUCCCAUGGGUGGAUAAAGCUCGGUGUAUGUUACUUCUGUCUUCAGUAUUUCUUUCAUUUGGGUGCAAAAUUGAUAGCUGGAACUGGCAGAAGAAAGAAUGAGACUUUUUGCUUAAACUUUGAGAUGCCAGUCAGUAUAAUGGAUAAAAGCCAAAUAUACAGUGUGAAGCCCAUUUUUCACAAAAUUCGACCAAUCCUUUCUUUGCUUUUCUUGGCCUGAAGCCAAAUGGAACUUGGUUGUUUAUUCUGAUGCUGGAGAAGAAAGGAAAGGCAGAAUUGUUUCUCUAUGCCCUGAAGAAUUUGACAAUGCAGAUGUGAUAGAAAGGGUUCUUUUUAUUAUGUUAUACUGCUUUCCUUCCUAGUGGUCCUGCCCAUCUCAGCUUUUUUAUUUGGAAGGCUGGCAUUUCACCCUGGUGUUCCUGUGUACCAGGUGAAAGAAAUGGUUUCCUUUACCAUUCCCACAUUACAACAGGACAGUUACUUCAGCAGUGUCUUCGUUGGGGAGAAGUAGAAGUGUUCUUUUCCCAUAGCAGAAGCAAAACUAGAAAAGGUGUGCAGGCAGCUUGUAUCCUGGCAGCUGCACCACAUCUUGUUUGAGCUGCAGUCUGAGCUGUGCCCUUAUCUUCCUACCAUAGACCUCCAGUAAUAAAUGAUUGUAUGUAAGAUAGCUGUAUUUCUUGCAAUCAACAUCCCAGUGAAAUUCCUACAGCAGAAAGCUCUGAAAAACGUGGUUGUUGGGCACAGGGAGGCAUCUCUGUCUUGGCUAAGCUGGGUCUUCCAGUUUUCAUUUUUCUAUGAGACUUAAAGUAAGAAUUGUAUUUUUGAGUGAAAACUGAGUUUAUUCCCUUGUAGUCUGAAUUUAGCAGCCAUUUUUACUAUUCUCUUCUUAAUCAGAAGCUGGGAGGAUCUAAUAAAUUGUAUGUAAAUUAAUUUGUAAAACUACAGUGAAAAGUGUGCUGAAGAGAAAAAAGUGAGUAAGGUGCCUCCAUAUGUCCAAGCAGCAAAUUUGAUAGGAUAAUGUACAACAUAACAGCUUUGCCUUAAUAAAAAAUAGAGCUGUGAUCUCCUGCCAGCAGAUUAACCAUGCGUUAGAAACAAAGAAAAAGAUAAUUAACUGAUGCUUUUUUUUCUGUUUGUUUGUCUGUCACUUCCUUUCUCAAGGUGCAGAUCAGCCACACAGCCUGUCCUACAAACUGGAGCUAGGAUCAGACCAGGAAAUACCUUCUGACUGGUAUCCAUUCGCCACUGUGCAGUUUGUUAUUCACGAUGCCUGUGCCUCAGGAACAGAAGUGAAGUCACUGGGCUUAGAGAGUGAUGUGCAGCCCCAGAAGCACGUGAUUCAGAAAGCUUUUUACCAUUGCCAGGUUGAAAUUGAAAAGAAGUGGAUUAGGCUUGAUGGAGAAGAUCCAGAUAAGGCUGGCAACUGCUUGAUGCAGUGAAAGAGAACAACGGCCAUCAUUGUAGGGUAUUUACACAGGCAAUUCUAUUGUUAGAAACAGCACGAUGACCUACUUUCACAUAAAAGAAGUCACUGAAUAUAUUUUUAAGUGCUUUUGGGUUUGAUUCUGCAAAUCAGCACUCAUUCUAUUGGCUUGUGUUCAAGUCAUGUUCCUGUCAUGGAAAAACCGAUAUGGACAAGGUCUGCUUAUAAAGGUUUGCAAGAUACGAGCACUUAUUUGACUGAUCAUAAUAUAUAUUUUUUCCUCUUGCAUAUCUAUGACUUGGGAACAAUCUCAUAUUCCACAUUGAAACCUAACAGCACUACUCAAAGAGUUUGAGUCACUUGGACAUAUAAUAUCAGCAAUAAAACCUGCCAGGGCUCUUACAUGCAGACCAGCAUCUGUGUAGGGUCCAGCAGGACCAAUUACAUCUUUUUUAGUGAUGCUUGAAAUCCUCCAUCCCCUAUAUUUCUGUUCUCCACAAUUUAUGUGAGCAGAACAAAUUGUAAUAUUAUUCUCUAUGAGAGCUUAAACUAAUGAGUUAGAACCAGGGUGAUUUCAUUGGUAAAAUGGGAAAAGUUCUCCUGCAGUAAUAUUCCUCAUUUUUCUGUGGCAGUCUUUUUCUUCCCAGCACUUCUGUCUGUGUCAGCAUUAGACUUUUUUUUUUCCACUGCUGCAGCAAGUGAGGGGGCGGAUAGCAUAAAUCAGCCCAGUUCCUUUUCAUUUGAUGAAGCUCUGAUAAUUUACACCAGCAGAGUGUAAAUUGAAAAAAAUGGUGACUUGCUACCAAUUGCUCCUUUAGGAUGCAGGGUCCAGAUAUUGCUUUGGAAACUGCAGGAGCUUCUGCACUGCUGCUUGAAGGAGCCUCAAGACAGAGAGCAUGUCUUCCCAUGCAUGGGAAGUGAGAUUUCAUCGUGCCACUGGCUGACGGCCUUUCUGGAGGGAAACGGUGCAGGAAUAGACUGUUACAAAGGAAGUGAAGCUGUGUUACUUCACCAAAUAGCUACUAACACUUUAUUAAUGUAUUAAUGUCCUAUCAUUGUAAUUUAGGAAGAGUUUCUUCACUUCCUUACAGCCGUUAUUCCCUUAAUCAUUUUAUGCAGGCUGUAAUUCCCACUCCAAGAAAUACAGUAAGUUGAAAAAAUAUUCUUAGUAUGUUUUUAUUUUUUCCUAAAGCAAUCCUUACUUGAAAUGGACAUGUUUGGAGAACAAAAAUACAGUAAUGCACAGAGUUUCACUUUAUAUUUUUCUACAGCUUGUAACUGCUUAUAUGAGCACUGUAAAAAUACAGAUAAAUGUUAUUCUGCCAAAGUAGAAAAACGUGGGAUAUGCACUGAGGAACUUACCAGUUGGAGGAAACAGAAGGCUGUAAUAUGAACGUAGUUCACCACAAUAAACUUUUCUCCCUGUUUGGAAGCUGAGAAUGAGAUGGGUAAUAGAUUCUGUAGUAAGUCCUGGGAGCAGGCUUUUAUGGGUAUUACACUGCCAAAGCCCCAGAAAGACUAUUAUGCUAUUUUGUCAUCUUUAUAUUAUCCCUUUUUAUUGGCAGAUGUGAUAUCAUAAAUCUAAGCAAGCAUUUGAGUACAGUAGGGAUCCAAAAUAUGUCUCAGAUACUGCAUCCUCCAUUCCUCUUUUGCCUUUAGUAGCCAUUAGCAUCUUCAAAUCAUGUUUGGUUUAUUGUAUUCAAAUUUAAUUUUGGUUUAUUUACUUCCGAACUGAACUGAGUGAUACAAGUGCAUGCUGGGGCAACACUUUUAUAAUUAGCACCAUGGCAGAGGUCUGUGAUUCAUUUAAGUCCAUGGCUAUGGUAGAGCUGCAAAGCUGCAUUAUAAAUUUGCCUUUCCUGGUAAUCAGUCCUUAUUCUAUCUGGUAUGGUGCAAGUGAUCAUUCCGCCUUACUGAGCUCAUUAACAGAGAUAGGUCAAGCUGCAGCUUUCUCCACAUGGCACAAUUGUGAAUUUCCAUCUAAGGCUUGCCAGACUCUCUGUUCGCUUUAACAGGAAUGGGAUCAGGGUCACAGGGAAUCCACUCCACAAAGAUGGAAUGAAAGAAAGAAAGUUACUGUUUCAUUCAUGGUUUUCACAACAAGUCUAAGGCUGAAAAACUACCCUCUUCAGUCUCAAACAGGUGAUUUUGUGCCUUACUGUCAGAAUAUUGAAAAAUGUAAGGCAGUUCAAUGACAGAAAGUUUGGGUUGACCUAAUUCUCCCCAUCAAAUUCUAACUUCCCUUUCUAUUGCAACAAUCUAAAGCAGAAACACUGGCUUCCCUUUUCUAAUAUUUCUUCUGCGUGCUCUGAUACCACUGAAUAUAACCAGUUGAACAAAUAUUCUCAGUGUUUAACACUUAAUUGCUAACAUUUUCUAUGAAUGCUAUAGUAGCUGAUGGUAAGUAAACAUACUGAUCUUUAUUGUUUAGAAAUCUGGGCAGUAAAUUGUCUAACUGCAUUCUGGGGGGGGAACUGGGUAAGGAACAGUUGCUAUAACAUGUCGAGGUACUCAGUGUCCAGCUGACAGAGGGACUGGAGCUUUAAAUAGCCCAUGAGGUAUGCUGGCAUGGUACAAGGAAGCAGGGGUUGUGUGUAUGUGAGCUGUGCUUGCCUGCAGCUAGCACCUGCACUCACUGAAAUUCUUCCAACUGUUCUGCUCACUUCAGAUGCGUACACUUCACUAAAAUUUACUGCAGGGCAGUGUUUAGAUGUUACCUGUGUUUCCUUCCCAAAGGAGAAGCAGAGCUUGGGAUGUUUUAUAUUUUAAAUGGAAAUCAAUGAGAACAGCUAUUUUUAAAGCGUUUUCUUUAUUUACAAAUCUAUUGUAUUUGCUCAAACUGACAAAUGUCUUUGCAUUAACGUUUCUUACACUAGUUGUGUUGCCAUAGAUAAUACUUGAUAUAACUUUGGAUUCAAAAACACCCAUUGAAGUCAAUGGAAGUCUUUUAACUGACAAAAUGGGAUCUGCAUCAAAGUCUGUAAGAAUAAAGGAGCGGCAAAAAGAAAGAAAAAAGAAAUGAAUAGUUGUAAUGGGCAGGAAAAGAAAACACUGUAGAAUAUUUUUGAUGCUGGUCAAUAAGCAACCUGAAAUGCAUGCUUAUUCCAACCAGAAGAGAGAACAAAAGAGAUGAAAGGAGGUGUAACUGGGUGUCAAAGCUGAAGCCUUGCAGUGACAGGGAAUGAUGCUCUGACUGCUCCUGGGCAGGGAGCAGCUCUUAAAAAUGAGGGUGGUGGUGCACUCCAUUGAAUGUGAUGCCAAGCCAUGGUCAUCCUUAUGCGCCAUAUAAAUUGUCCAAAACUCUACAUUUGAAAAUAUACUUUCACACGUUGCUUCUAGUAGCAUUUGUUUUAUUUGACAGACUUCUUAGCUGCAGUACUGGCGUCCACAUCUUUAUUUCACAUUUAUUUGUCUUUUUGUUGACUAAACACGGUAACUAACUGCUGCAGUUAGUAAUUCUUAGCUGUAAUUUUGAUAACUCUGAAGCAGUGCUGUUAUUCUUAAUGGAAAAUAUAAUUUUAUUUUUGUCAGUUUAACUGUAAACAGAUCAUGCUGAUGAUCCUGUAAUAACGUUUUGUAGAUUGCAUAUUGAUUAAAAAAAUAAAGUUGUAUUUCAAACUUGCCGUUUCUUGUUCUUGCCGUUCCCCUCACUAAAAAUUUAUCAAGCUUGCUUUAGAUUUACUGUAAUUAACUGGUUGAUCUUGUAGUGGUGAGUACUGCAGUUCAUUAGAAAAAGGAAUUGCACUGUGUGUAUGAGUGGGGGAUGUCACUCCCAGUCUCAAAUGAUGCUGGUCACAAAAAGCUGAACUACAUAUUCCAUUAAUGAUCAUAUACUGCAGGCUUUUUGCCUCAUUCACAUAACAAUAGUAAGCCAAUGAAUGUUUUUUUUCCUAUCCAGUGCUUCUCCAAACUCCCUGGGAUGUUUGAAUAUAACCUAGUGACAAUCAUUGAAGACCUUCAGAAAUUUCAGUCUGUUCUUGAAAUGAGCUGCAAUUCAUAGUGAAGUGGUGAAGUCGCAGUGGGGAAAUACAUGAGUAAGGCAGAGAUCUGUGGGGCAGCACUUCAAGGAAUUGCCUUAAAGUAUAAAAUAACCAUGCCACUUAUCCUGUGCUGCUGUCUCUCUGUCAGGUGAAAACAUGUAAACAUUUAUUUUUAGGACAAUCUCCUAGCAUGUGCUAUGUUCAGCUGUUUUAUAGCUCUUUCAUUAGUAAAAUUAGUAAAAAAGUGACCUGUAAUUUUUAGAAAAAUCACUUCUUAGACACAGAACAGUGGAGUUGCGAAGCCUUGGAGCAGGGCUAGAGCAUUUUUGGGGAUACAAGAUGGGAGGUUGAGUAUUCAGGAAAGGCAAAGCUUAUUUCAUCCUUAAUUAGGAUUACUUAUGCUGAGUUUCUGGGUGUUUUAGAGAGCAGAGCUGUAUUCUGCUAUUUGGUGUAUUCAGUCUACCAGGAAUGCCAUUUUUAUACAGCUUUUUUACAGGUCAGAGCUCUUCUAUGCUCCCCAAUAUCCAGAAAAUGUAUCAUUAAAUUGAAUUCAGAGAAAGCCUUUCCUACAGUUCCUCUGAUGAAGUGGUUUGAAUCAGGUAAAAAAACGGGAGAGUCAUCUGAGGAAACAGGAGUCACACAUCAUAACUGGGAGAGGAACAAAUCACAGGUCCCAGCUUUAUCUGUCUCAGAUCUCCAAAAGAAUGAAGGAGCUCAUAAUAAAACCACACUAUUAAUAAAAUUGGUUAUGAUAGCAGAGCACCAUAUCUCUAAACAGCUGAAAACAAAGGCAGCAUGUUAGAUAAUAUCUUUAAAAUGAAAUUAUAGUUCUGCCCAUGUCAAGGCUGCUGCAUAAGGACUGCCCAGAUUCUGCAACCACUUUCUUCUAAGAAUGAUUACUUUUACUUGGCAAGAGGAACGAGAGGGUAGUUGUAAAAUAAUACCUUGAGAAGGAGUCGGGUAGAGCUGCAGUUGUUCCUCCACAGCAGCAAUACUGGUUUUUAACAGCAGAGGGCAUUCUCUACCAAGCAUCUGAGUUCGCUGAGGCCAGUGUUUCAAGCGGUAAUGCAUUGGAAAACAGUAUUUUUUAAAAUGAAUAAUAAAGAUUCAUCACCCGAAAUUAAAUCUUCCCUAGACGUCACGUAUCAAGAGGAGUAUAAAUAAUUACAAAUUAAAACCUGUCCAGUAAAUGAAUGUUUGAGGUGCCCUUAAGCAUCACUAUCCCAAAUACUGACAAAACCCUGAAAAAUCAGGAGGAUCUGAACAGCAUACUAAUCUUUUUGAUAGCCUGGCUUCUAAAACACUUGAGAGCUGUUAAAGAAACUGCAGUGGGGAGGGCUGGACUGGAAGCUGAAUUAAGACUGAUGAAACAUAGAUGCUGUUCCCAACCGCUUUGUGUGAGGCUGGGCAAAAUAUCUGGUGCAUUUUUUCACUUAAGAGUGGGGUUAAAUGUUAAGAAAAUGCAUAAGCAUGAAAAUCAUGACAGGCUUGCAUUUUAUGUUGCAGGACACUGAUACUGUGUUAAGAUCAGCAAUACCAAAAGUAGCUAAUUAGUAUUAAGUACUGCUAUUACUGGAUAUUUUUAUAGAUGUUCUUAUUCAAGGAAGAUUUAAUUUAAGGAUGUAAUUAACCAGGCUUUUUUUUAUGCUUGUCCAGUGGACACACUGAUCACAGCACUUGAUGAGAAGAUAUCUUCUCUAGUAAUUUCUAACAGAAAUUUUAUCAGGUAGUUGCCAGACCUCAGGUGAUAACCAAGUGCCUUGAUUAGCAGGCAAUGCCUAUUGCAACCUCACUGUGUGCCUUGGAAAGUUGUAUCCUCACCCUCUAUUUUUACUUUCUUCUAAGCAAUACCUGUGUACUAUGGGUAGGUGUAGAGUGCUGUUCCUGCACGAAGGGAAUUCACACAUUGACUUUGGUGGUGGGGCUUUGGUAUUUACCAGCAAUAUAAAGGACAGUAUUUACAACACACGGGAUAUGGCUACAGUGCCUUGUGCUGCUGAAAUUUGUUAGACACAUAAAAAUACAGAAACACACCGUUAACUAGAAGUGCAGGCGUAGCUCAUUUGCCAUGGUCUGCAAAUGUCCUUGUGGGCGUAUCCAAAGUAACCUGGCCUCUAUUUGAGACAGCUGAGAAGUCCUCCAGAACCAAGCUCCCCAGUCUGCACCUCUUUUUGAAGUCAUAUAUGCAAACUGUUUUAAGUACAAGGAACUCUGUAACAUAAAUGAAAGAUCGUAGAAAGCGAGAAACUCAUUUAUAAAUGUUUUUCUUUCUGCAUGUUUUCCACCUUUACAAAACUGCCUUGUGGUAAUGCUGGCAGAUAGAUAGCUAUGUAUCAGGUUUAUCUGUCUCAUGAAUAAGUUGCAGCCAGCUGCAGGAUCACCAUCUGCAAUCUUCAGGGCCCAGUGAGAUCCUAAAGGCUUCUUGCUAUUUCUGCUAACACGACAGGGCUAAUCAGACAGGAGAAUAAUGGCUCUCUUGGUAUGCGCUAUCCCAGACAGUUUCAAGUGAACACCAUGCUUUAAAAACACAUUCUAUUAUUCAAAUUAUUCUAUAAGCAAAGGCAAUGGCUUGCCUUUUUCUUGUGUUGAUGCAGGGUGUACAGAACAGCUGAAUAUGCAAUUGUCAUUUGAUUCAAGAUCUAGACAGUAUCAUUAAACAUUUCUGUUACAAAGCAAAAUUACUUCAACAGCGAAUAGCACUUGUUCUUUGUCUCACUUGUAAAAAUGCAACUUAGAAUAUGAUUAUGGAUGUUGCUUCUUUUUUUAUGUUGUGGGUGUUAGUCUAGCUUUAUAAUUAAGGAUCUGACAGGAUUUUCGUUAAAAUAUUUUCAUUCUUCAGAUUGUGUAAGCCAGCCUUAAAAUCAAUGCUUAAGGGUAAGUCUUCUCUUUACAAAUCAGGCAGCACUACAUACCUACCUAAAUAUAGAAAAAGGAAAAGAAAAAGAUGUUUCUAGGUUCUCAGGAAGAGCAGAAUAACACCAACAUAGGUGUGGAAGGAAGACCGGAAUAUACAUUCUGCUACAUACAUGAUUAUAAUGAACAUUUUUCCAGAUGUAACUGUUAAAUUGGUAAAUCUCUAUAUUAACAUACGAACAGAUUGCAGCAAAUGUAAGCAAUAAUUUGUGUAGUUGUACCAGACUGCUGCUACUUAACAAGAGCUUCAGCUUUCUCCCUGUUUAUAAGGUAAGAAUGACUUCAGAGUUUAUUACAGCAAGAUAGUAUGCUUUUCUAGCCAGCUUUCCUAGGUAUACUUUUGCACUACAGAGGCAACCAUACUUCUCCAAACUAAGCCUCCUUUCCAUCAUGAACAAAAGCUGGAUUUUCUGACUGCCUUCAGGUUCUGCUAGAGCUCUGGUCCAAACUGGGCACCUCAGCUGCCUUGUACAGUCCAGGUAUUGGUCAAUUUUUGGCCUCUAAAUCUGAAAGAAGAAACUUGGGUUUGUAACCAGUGCUCAGCUGAAACCCAAUGUGUGGCAAUUUAUGUGCUGUUUCAGAGAUAGAAGCUCAAUGGGAGCAGAGGAAAGCAUGGGUUUUUUAAAACACUUUCUUCUCCAAUUGAUGCUAUCACUAAUAACAAUUUGUAGCUUUGCUAGUGCACUUUUCAUCAGUAGGCAAUGGGAGCAAUCUUACAAUAGCACUGCUUUUUUGCAGGUGAGGAAAUGGAGACAAAGAGCAGCAAGAUGACCUGCUCUAGGCCACCGAAAAGCCUCAGACAAAAGCUUUAGUUUCUUGGCUGCUUUUGCAUUGGUGCUUUAGCUAUUGGUCCACACUGAUACGAUUACUGUGAGACUAUCGACAGGAGCCAAAAGCACGGCAAAACCCAUAAAGCCCUCCCCAAAGACCAGAGAAAAUAACAACUACAGAGUAGCACAGCUUCACAAAACAGUAAUUGCUCCAGCCAGCAGUUACUGGAGAUGCUACUUAAUUCCUCCUUUGCGAGGAGCUAAUGGCAGUGGCUGGUCACAGUCAGUUCUAGCUUUCCACCUCCCUCGUAGAAAGCAGGUCCCUACGUGCUGCUUAGCUCCCCCCAUCCCGCCAUGUCUACCAGGUUCGGCUGGGGCCGGCGGCAACCAGGCCGCGUCACCAUGGCAACGGCGCCUUAAAGGCGGAAGGGGCCGUUAUGGGAGGCUGCCGCCAUGGCUCACGGCAACCCCGUGCUCUGGGAAACCAAGGUUAUGCAGUCUAAAGCAACAGAAGGCCUCUUCAAACACAGCCACCGUUCUUCACACUUAACUCUACAGGUUCCACACAAUUUUCAUCAUGUUUUGCAGGCUCCAACAGCUUCUUUAGUUAUCCCAGCUGGAGGAGGCUUUCAGCAUUUCAUGGCAGCAGACCUGGGUGCUCCACAAAAAGGUGCAACUCUUACUCUCCCUUCCAGUGUUGCUUAUCCCAUACAUGUACCAGCUGGACUGACUCUGCAGACA